rnacentral:rRNA from 1 species
GACGAACGCUGGCGGCGUGCUUAACACAUGCAAGUCGAGCGGUAAGGCCCUUUCGGGGGUACACGAGCGGCGAACGGGUGAGUAACACGUGGGUGACCUGCCCUCAGCUCUGGGAUAAGCCUGGGAAACCGGGUCUAAUACCGGAUAUGACUCCAUGACGCAUGUUGUGGGGUGAAAGCCUUGUGUGGCUAGAGAUGGGCCCGCGGCCUAUCAGCUUGUUGGUGGGGUGAUGGCCUACCAAGGCGACGACGGGUAGCCGGCCUGAGAGGGCGACCGGCCACACUGGGACUGAGACACGGCCCAGA